UAUGCUUCAUAAUGGUGAACUCUCUUAGAUAAAUAUAAAAGUGAGAGAUGUUCAAGUUUCCGGAGCAAACAUAAAACUGGCCAGAAUUAAACAGCGCUGUGUUUAUACCUAUUUUCACAGCGUUACCUGUCUUCUGGUAUAUAU
rfam:Brassica rapa chromosome A9, whole genome shotgun sequence.